AAAGUCAGUUUUAAGCAGAAACUCUGUGAAAUUCCAUGAGGCUUUGAAAUGUCUGAUGCACAGUCAAUGCAUCAGCUAGCAGCUCGUUUAGCCGCGGUGCUCUGAUUGCUUCCACCGCCUUUUAUGAUGAAAUAAUGCUGAAUUUAUAUGGAAAUGAUUGUUGUACAAAAGCGUCAGUUAUCUG